rnacentral:rRNA from 1 species
GAUGAACGCUGGCGGCGUGCCUAAUACAUGCAAGUCGAGCGAAUGGAUUAAGAGCUUGCUCUUAUGAAGUUAGCGGCGGACGGGUGAGUAACACGUGGGUAACCUGCCCAUAAGACUGGGAUAACUCCGGGAAACCGGGGCUAAUACCGGAUAACAUUUUGAACCGCAUGGUUCGAAAUUGAAAGGCGGCUUCGGCUGUCACUUAUGGAUGGACCCGCGCCGCAUUAGCUAGUUGGUGAGGUAACGGCUCACCAAGGCAACGAUGCGUAGCCGACCUGAGAGGGUGAUCGGCCACACUGGGACCGAGACACGGCCCAGACUCCUACGGGAGGCAGUAGUAGGGAAUCUUCCGCAAUGGACGAAAGUCUGACGGAGCAACGCCGCGUGAGUGAUGAAGGCUUUCGGGUCGUAAAACUCUGUUGUUAGGGAAGAACAAGUGCUAGUUGAAUAAGCUGGCACCUUGACGGUACCUAACCAGAAAGCCACGGCUAACUACGUGCCAGCCGCCGCAGUAA